rnacentral:lncRNA from 10 species
AAGCCGGUGAGGACAGUGAGACCAAGGGCUUGCUUCGGGGGCUGCCGGCCAAGGCGGCGGCUGGUGGUGGUUUCUGGCUUCGCUGUUCCAUUCCCUUGUCUUGAGGUCUCAGCCGGUUCUCGCUGAGAUGGCUACGUCAGUGAGGCCAGUCACUCCCGGUGCCGCUGCCUUGGCAGAGCUGGUUUAGAACCACCGUGAAGGUCAUCGAACGGGGCCCUCCACCCUGCAAUUGGCCUGCGGCCAUCCUUGAGGCCAUGUGGUCUUUGCAUGAGCACCCAGGAUGGUGAGGAACCUCCGCCUGCUGAGGCAGCCCACCCACUGCAGAAGGUCGGACUCCCUGCUGGCCCCCAGUUAGUCCCACUUGUGGUCACUUAGACCUUGCCCCCUCUUCUGCCUCGUAGCCCUUCAGGAGCAAGAUGGCAGCCGGCAUGUACCUUCUGGAUUUCCUUCUCUGCCAGGGGCCUGCUCUAGUGUUUUCAGCUGCUCCUCCUUGAAUGCCACCUCCACUUCUUCCUUUUGUGACAUGAACAGGUUGCUUCAUGU